rnacentral:rRNA from 1 species
GAUGAACGCUGGCGGCGUGCCUAAUACAUGCAAGUCGAGCGAAUGGAUUAAGAGCUUGCUCUUAUGAAGUUAGCGGCGGACGGGUGAGUAACACGUGGGUAACCUGCCCAUAAGACUGGGAUAACUCCGGGAAACCGGGGCUAAUACCGGAUAACAUUUUGAACCGCAUGGUUCGAAAUUGAAAGGCGGCUUCGGCUGUCACUUAUGGAUGGACCCGCGUCGCAUUAGCUAGUUGGUGAGGUAACGGCUCACCAGGGCAACGAUGCGUAGCCGACCUGAGAGGGUGAUCGGCCACACUGGGACCGAGACACGGCCCAGACUCCUACGGGAGGCAGCCGUAGGGAAUCUUCCGCAAUGGACGAAAGUCUGACGGAGCAACGCCGCGUGAGUGAUGAAGGCUUUCGGGUCGUAAAACUCUGUUGUUAGGGAAGAACAAGUGCUAGUCGAAUAAGCUGGCACCUUGACGGUACCUAACCAGAAAGCCACGGCUAACUACGUGCCAGCCGCCGCGGUAA